rnacentral:rRNA from 1 species
GGGUUAACGUCCCGUAACGAGCGCAACCCUUGUCCUUAGUUACCAGCACGUUAUGGGUGGGCACUCUAAGGAGACUGCCGGUGACAAACCGGAGGAAGGUGGGGAUGACGUCAAGUCAUCAUGGCCCUUACGGCCUGGGCUACACACGUGCUACAAUGGUCGGUACAAAGGGUUGCCAAGCCGCGAGGUGGAGCUAAUCCCAUAAAACCGAUCGUAGUCCGGAUCGCAGUCUGCAACUCGACUGCGUGAAGUCGGAAUCGCUAGUAAUCGUGAAUCAGAAUGUCACGGUGAAUACGUUCCCGGGCCUU